AAACAAUCAAAUGCAAAAUGGCUCCAUAGCGCCCCCUAAGGUGAAAAAUUCACAUGAUUGAGUGUCACGCCUGUACGCUUUGUCAAAAUGACACAAAAUUUGACACACACGUGUAUCUCAAUAAGAUCUACAAAAAAGUCAGUGCGGGCGUAUCUGUCAAAUGUACGGUUAAAGGGCUAUUUCGCAUUUUUUGCCGAUCCGCACACAUUGGAAUUUCGCUAACUCCUCCGAAGGCUUUCGUUCCACCGGCACCAAAUUUGCUCAGGCCAAUCUACACCCCAUGGCCAUUCAAAGUUGUACAAAUCAUGACGCUGCCCCCCACGGUUUACGUUGUAGGGGGCGCCAAAGAUAACCCAAAAAUCCACAUUCUUACAAGUCUUAUAACUUUUUAUUUCUGUCCUCACUGGCCUCCAAGUUUUCUAGGAUGAUGCAAUGUCCAGCCAUCAACACAUUUGUGAAGGAAUUUUUACUCCCCAAAAGAGCGCCCCCCCAUGGCAGAAGAAAAAAGGCCAUUUUUUCUUGUCCUAUAAGGUGAAAAUACACAUUGUUGAGUGUCACGCCUGUACGCUUUGUCAUAUUGAAACAAAAUUUGAUAAUCACGUGUAUCUCAAUAAGAUCUACGAAAGAGUCAAUGCGCACGUGUCUGCAAAAUGUACGGUUAAAGGGCUAUUUCGCAUUUUUGGUUGAUUCGCACACAUUGGAAUGUGGCUAACUCCUCCUAAAGCUUUCGUUCCACCGGCACCAAAUUUGCUUAGGCCAAUCUACACCCCAUGGCCAUUCAAAGUUGUACAAAUCAUGUCGCUGCACCCCACGGUUUACCUUGUAGGGGGCGCCAAAGAUAACCCAAAAAUCCACAUUCUUACAAGUUAUAACUUUUUAUUUCUGUCCUCACUGGCCUCCAAGUUUUCUAGGAUGAUGCAAUGUCCAGCCAUCAACACAUUUGUGAAGGAAUUUUUACUCGCCAAAAGAGCGCCCCCCCAUGGCAGGAGAAAAAAGUCCAUUUUUUCUUGUCUCCUAAGGCGAAAAUUCACACUAUUGACUGUCACACCUUUACGCUUUGUCAAAAUGACACAAAAUUUGACACACACAUGUAUCUCAAUAAGAUCUACAAAAAAGUCAGUGCGGGCGUAUCUGUCAAAUGUACGGUUAAAGGGUUAUUUCGCAUUUUUUGCCGAUCCGCACACAUUGGAAUUUCGCUAACUCCUCCGAAGGCUUUCGUUCCACCGGCACCACAUUUGCUCAGGCCAAUCUACACCCCAUGGCCAUUAAAAGUUGUACAAAUCAUGAUGCUGCACCCCACGGUUUACGUUCUAGGGGGCGCCAAAGAUAACCCAAAUAUCCACAGUCUUAAAAGUCUUAUAACUUUUUAUUUUUGUCCUCACUGGCCUCCAAGUUCUCUAGGAUGAUGCAAUGUCCAGCCAUCAACACAUUUGUGAAGGAAUUUUUACUCGCCAAAAGAGCGCCCCCCAUGGCAGGAGAAAAAAGUCCAUUUUUUCUUGUCUCCUAAGGCGAAAAUACACAUUGUUGACUGUCACGCCUUUACGCUUUGUCAAAAUGACACAAAAUUUGACACACACAUGUAUCUCAAUAAGAUCUACGAAAAAGUCAAUGCGAGCGUAUCUGUUCAAUGUACGGUUAAAGGGCUAUUUCGCAUUUUUUGCCGAUUCGCACACAUUGGAAUGUGGCUAACUCCUCCUAAAGCUUUUGUCCCAUCGGCUUCAAAUUUGCUCAGGUCAAUCUACACCCCAUGUCCAUUCAAAGUUGUACAAAUCAUGACGCUGCACCCCACGGUUUACGUUCUAGGGGGCGCCAAAGAUAACCCAAAAAUCCACAGUCUUAAAAGUCUUAUAACUUUUUAUUUUUGUCCUCACUGGCCUCCAAGUUCUCUAGGAUGAUGCAAUGUCCAGCCAUCAACACAUUUGUGAAGGAAUUUUUACUCCCCAAAAGAGCGCCCCCCCAUGGCAGGAGAAAAAGUCAAGUUUUUCCUGCCCAUCGCUCAAUGGCUCAAACGCAUCGCUCUCUCGGCAAAACCGAAAGGAGGAGCAACUUGCCAUUUGGAUAUAUACUAGCUGUGUUUGUGCCCUCACUCAUGGUCCAGACUUUUUUCAAAAAGGACAUGGAGUUUGUCUGCAGCGAGCGUUUUGGUAGAAACUGCGCCUCCCAUUCAUUAUAAUGGUAAAUGACCACAGACAAGUGCGCACACCAUCUUUGGACCUUGAGUGUGACGCAAUCGGGAGGGGUAGGCGGUCGCGCUGGGGGUGGCGCGACACGGCUCGGGCCCGCCAGUGCCCCAACGGGGCCCUAGUUCUUUGUUUCUUUUUUCUUUUUCCUCCCCUUUGACCUGGAAAAUGGCCCACUUCCCACUGGCGAAAACUCAUGAAAUUUGGCAGGACGACCGGGCCUGGUGAAAAAUUUGAUAUUCCGAAGUCGCCCAAACAAGAAAAUGCAAAAUGGCUCCAUAGCGCCCCCUAAGGUGAAAAUUCACACUAUUGACUGUCACGCCUGUACGCUUUGUCAAAAUGACACAAAAAUUGACACACACAUGUAUCUCAAUAAGAUCUACAAAAAAGUCAGUGCGGCCGUAUCUGUCAAAUGUACGGUCAAAGGGUUAUUUCGCAUUUUUUGCCGAUCCGCACACAUUGGAAUUUCGCUAACUCCUCCGAAGGCUUUCGUUCCACCGGCACCACAUUUGCUCAGGCCAAUCUACACCCCGUGGCCAUUAAAAGUUAUCAAAAUCAUGACGCUGCACCCCAAGGUUUAGGUUCUAGGGGGCGCCAAAGAUAACACUAAAAUCCACAUAUUUAAAAGUCUUAUAACUUUUUAUUUUUGUCCUCACUGGCCUCCAAGUUUUCUAGGAUGAUGCAAUGUCCAGCCAUCAACACAUUUGUGAAGGAAUUUUUACUCCCCAAAAGAGCGCCCCCCCAUGGCAGGAGAAAAAAGUCCAUUUUUUCUUGUCCCCUAAGGUGAAAAUACACAUUGUUGAGUGUCACGCCUAUACGCUUUGUCAAAAUGACACAAAAAUUGACACACAUAUGUAUCUCAAUAAGAUCUACAAAAAAGUCGAUGCGGCCGUAUCUGUCAAAUGUACGGUCAAAGGGUUAUUUCGCAUUUUUUGCCGAUCCGCACACAUUGGAAUUUCGCUAACUCCUCCGAAGGCUUUCGUUCCACCGGCACCACAUUUGCUCAGGCCAAUCUACACCCCGUGGCCAUUAAAAGUUAUCAAAAUCAUGACGCUGCACCCCAAGGUUUAGGUUCUAGGGGGCGCCAAAGGUAACACUAAAAUCCACAUAUUUAAAAGUCUUAUAACUUUUUAUUUUUGUCCUCACUGGCCUCCAAGUUUUCUAGGAUGAUGCAAUGUCCAGCCAUCAACACAUUUGUGAAGGAAUUUUUACUCCCCAAAAGAGCGCCCCCCCAUGGCAGGAGAAAAAAGUCAAUUUUUUCUUGUCCCCUAAGGUGAAAAUACACAUUGUUGAGUGUCACGCCUAUACGCUUUGUCAAAAUGACACAAAAAUUGACACACACAUGUAACUCAAUAAGAUCUACGAAAAAGUCAAUGCGCGCGUAUCUGUCAAAUGUACGGUUAAAGGGUUAUUCCGCAUUUUUUGCCGAUCCGCACACAUUGGAAUGUGGCUAACUCCUCCUAAGGCUUUCGUUCCACCGGCACCACAUUUGCUCAGGACAAUCUACACCCCAUGGCCAUUAAAAGUUAUUCAAAUCAUGACGCUGCACCCCACGGUUUAGGUUCUAGGGGGCGCCAAAGACCCUAAAAUCCACAUAUUUAAAAGUCUUAUAACUUUUUAUUUUUGUCCUCACUGGCCUCCAAGUUUUUUAGUUUUCUAGGAUGAUGCAAUGUCCAGCCAUCAACACAUUUGUGAAGGAAUUUUUACUCCCCAAAAGAGCGCCCCCCCAUGGCAGGAGAAAAAAGUCCAUUUUUUCUUGUCCCCUAAGGUGAAAAUACAUAUUGUUGAGAUUCACGCCUAUACGCUUUGUCAUAUUGACACAAAAUUUGACAAUCACGUGCCUUGCCUGGUAUCAUUUUUUCAGCACAACCUCACCUGUGCGAAUUUACAGUUAUUUUAUCAUGUUGACAUACUGAAUUUACACAAUGGACCCAAAUUCACACACAAAACAUAAAAUCCGAGUGGAAAAAAGUAACAUUUUUACUGUGAAAACCACAAAUAUGUGUGAUGAACUGUUUUUAAAACUUAAACUUCAAAUAAAAAUUGUAAACUUCAAAACAUAUGCAAAUUUUUAACAAAGAACAUAGUGAUUUACCUCUAUUUACAUCAAAAUGCAGGCAAUGGCCCAGGCGUUCUUUGUAAAAUUAUUUACAAAACACUGUAUAGUCUCACAAAUGUCACUUUUUAUUUAUGCCACUACAAAAAAACAUGAUGUAAAUGAUGCAUGAUGUAAAACAUGAUGUAAAAAACUUGUGUAGAUCCUCCUCUAUGUCAGUCCAUGUGUAAUUUUUCCAUAAUUCUUUGUUUUUUGCAGCAUUUUUGUUAGUGUAACUGCAGAUUGUGCUGACAGUGUCUAUGGCACAAAAAAAAAAAAAUUUAAAAUGCCUCAACAUGAACCCCUGGUGGUCUCUGAGGGUGAAACCUGCUAACGGCUGCAGCUCUGUCAGCUUCAGUCUCCCAUGCAGAGCUCUGAGCGCAUGUGUGGCUCUGCACCCUUAGCAGCGUUGCUAACUCCUCAGUAAGGAAAGCCUGCUUCAUGUCAGAGUCUCUAAACUCCAGAAGAAGUCGAUAAAAGUCCCUUUCUUUCUAAAAAAAAGUCGUUAGGGGGUCUGAAAAGUCAUUGAAUCUAACAACAAAGUCGCUAGGUUUGCAACUACGUGUCCCAGACUGCAUCCCUGCUGAGAGUCCCUCCCUCCCUUCUCAUGUUGCAGGAAGAACGUAAGCGCCCGCCCCUUGUCAAUCAGUCACCAUAUAAUUUUGGAUUGGUUGUUGUGGUGAAGUUUUCCACCAAUAGGAGAGAUGUUGUGGUGUGUUUUUUUUUUCUUUUGGCAAGCCUUUUCCGCCUGUAAGACCUGUCGCUAAUGUCUGCAUGCUAUGUUUUCCUGUCUCAUACAGCGCGAUCGAGCGCCGAACGUGAUCAAAAUAAGCAGAAAAAAAGUAUCGCGGACAUAAUUUAUCAUAACUCUGGUUUUAUUUGGCCUAUCAACACAAUUUAAAAACUGGUAUAUAGGUUGAGGUCCUCACUUUUGAGAUAAGUUGAAACGGAGAGUCAACGAGGCUCCGUCUUGCAGCUACAUCCGAUUAAAUAUGUCAUGUGACUUGAACGCACACACAGACACACACACACGCACACACACACACACACACACACACACACACACUCAGAGUCUGGUUUUUAGCACCUGCAAAAACAUGCUAUUUACAUAUUUGACAAGAAUGCAGAGGCUCCUUUUGCCCCUGAAAAAAAUCAAAUUUCAAACACAACUUGACUGGUCAUUUCUCCAAAAGACAACCAUGAAGCUCCAUCCAAACCUGAAGCAGGCAGUUGGUGCAUGUGUACAGUAACCUGAGGGGAGUGAGGUGAGUGCUUCUGAGGAGAACAUGAGCAGUGAAGAUUCACCUUGGAGCUAGAACAGAGACAUGCACAUGAUUAUACAGGGGCAGGGGCUCAAGUUUUUUCCAGUCGUUUAUACAAUAUGGAAAUUAAUGUGAAAUUAAAACACAAAGUAUUAAUAGAAAGGUAAUGACUGUCCUGUGUAGGUGACAGUGAUAUCCAAUAGGCUAGGCACUCACGAGGCUGGCUGUGGCAAGUGUAAGUGAAAGCAACACGCACUGGCAGGAAGAACAGCAAACGCCGAUGAAGGAAAAGGGUCUUUGCAGUGAUGGGCGUUACCAGAGAGGGCGAUGGCCAGAGGACACAAAUGGGACGGGGAGGCAGCAUGUUGGGGGGUGGGGGGGUGGGGGGGGGGGGGGGACGCGACACGGCUCGGGCCCGCCAGUGCCCCAACGGGGUCCUAGUUAUUAUUAUUAUUUUUCCUCCGCUUUAAACUGGAAAAUGGCCCACUUCCCACUGGCGAAAACUCAGGAAAUUUGGCAGGACGACCGGGCCUGGUGAAAAAUUCGAUAUUCUGAAGUCGCCCAAACAAUAAAAUACAAAAUGGCUCCAUAGCGCCCCCUAAGGUGAAAAUUCACACUAUUGACUGUCACGUCUGUACGCUUUGUCAUAUUGACACAAAAAUUGACACACACAUGUAUCUCAAUAAGAUCUACAAAAAAGUCAGUGCGGGCGUAUCUGUCAAAUGUACGGUUAAAGGGUUAUUUCGCAUUUUUUGCAGAUCCGCACACAUUGGAAUUUCGCUAACUCCUCCGAAGGCUUUCGGUCCACCGGCACCACAUUUGCUCAGGCCAAUCUACACUCCAUGGCCAUUCAAAGUUGUACAAAUCAUGAUGCUGCACCCCAUGGUUUAGGUUCUAGGGGGCGCCAAAAAUAACCCUAAAAUCCACAUUCUUAAAAGUUUUAUAACUUUUUAUUUUUGCCCUCACUGGCCUCCAAGUUUUCUAGGAUGAUGCAAUGUCCAGCCAUCAACACAUUUGUGAAGGAAUUUUUACUCCCCAAAAGAGCGCCCCCCCAUGGCAGGACAAAAAAGUCAAUUUUUUCUUGUCCCCUAAGGUGAAAAUACACAUUGUUGAAUGUCACGCCUGUACGCUUUGUCAUAUUGACAAAAAAUUUGACAAUCACGUGUAUCUCAAUAAGAUCUACGAAAAAGUCAAUGCAGGCGUAUCUGUCAAAUGUACGGUUAAAGGGCUAUUUCGCAUUUUUUGCCGAUUCGCACACAUUGGAAUGUGGCUAACUCCUCCUAAGGCUUUCGUCCCACUGACACCAAAUUUGCUCAGGCCAAUCUACACCCCAUGGCCAUUCAAAGUUGUAAAAAUCAUGACGCUGCACCCUAUGGUCUACGUUCUAGGGGGCGCCAAAGAGGACCCAAAUAUCCACAUUUUUAAAGUCUUAUAACUUUUUAUUUUUGUCCUCACUGGCCUCCAAGUUUUCUAGGAUGAUGCAAUGUCCAGCCAUCAACACAUUUGUGAAGGAAUUUUUUCUCCCCAAAAGAGCGCCCCCCCAUGGCAGGAGAAAAAGUCAAGUUUUUCCUGCCCAUCGCUCAAUGGCUCAAACGCAUCGCUCUCUCGGCAAAACCGAAAGGAGGAGCAACUUGCCAUUUGGAUAUAUACUAGCUGUGUUUGUGCCCUCACUCAUGGUCCAGACUUUUUUCAAAAAGGACAUGGAGUUUGUCUGCAGCGAGCGUUUUGGUAGAAACUGCGCCUCCCAUUCAUUAUAAUGGUAAAUGACCACAGACAAGUGCGCACACCAUCUUUGGACCUUGAGUG
rnacentral:lncRNA from 1 species